rnacentral:lncRNA from 1 species
CCGACGUUUCCCAAGGGAUGCCAGCUAGGCUCCAUAUUUCUUCCAGCAAAGGGGUCAUUUCCAAAUCCCCGAAACGGAACUUUAAUCGGUCACCAUCCCAAAACAAAGUGGCAGCCUCAAUGAUUUUGUUGUUGGGUUGGAUUUCCAAAAGCGAAGGCAAAUUCCCUAAGUGCUUACGGACGAGGGUUUGAUCACUGAUAUGAAGAUCCUCCCACCAGCUCAGCACCCUUGGGUGGAUGUUGCAUACAAUAUGGGGACCUCGUGCCUCAUUUCUGCAAAACAAAGUGUUAGGCCCUUAACCCCACCAGACUCGACUAUUUAAAUCAAUAAUUAGCAAAAAACAUUCAGUUCUCCAAAUAAAUGCACAUAACAUGAAGAUGUCCGUUUGGGUUUCAGGAAACCCGAUGUACUUAGGUUUAGGUUGUCUUAAUGAGUCAUUAUGUGGACAACAUAACUGACUCGGCUAGGGUUGACCAUGAUGCAUGAANNNNNNNNNNNNNNNNNNNNNNNNNNNNNNNNNNNNNNNNNNNNNNNNNNNNNNNNNNNNNNNNNNNNNNNNNNNNNNNNNNNNNNNNNNNNNNNNAUGCAAUAGAGUAAGGUUUCUAUUUUUUGAAGUGCUAGACAAGGUACCCUUGAGCGGGCAACUCAAGAGGGAAAGGCACGGACCCGUCGACUACAUUGUUGAUCGACUGGUUUUACCGCAAGUAUGACUUUGCCACAUUUAGGGGGUUUAUAAUAUUGGAAGGGCGCAACCACUCAUUGUAAGCGUUGCCGUAGGAUUUGUUCUGGCACGAGAGGAAUAUGAUGUUGAGAAAUGCAAUUACAACAAUGAAACAAGUUGCAUGUAUUUUCAUGUUCAUAAAGAUUACAAUAGAUGCUCGAAAAUUACAAUAGAAUUGAAAUAAAAGCAGAAAUUAAAAGGAAAGAAAAACAUGAAGAGUCAAGUUAGUAAUUGUAAUAAAAUAAUUAGAACGGGGAAUACGUGUGAUUAAAGUAAACAAAUAAAGUCACAAAAGCAAGUAAUGGUAAAAGCAUUAAAGAAAUUCUCGAACAGAGUCGCCAUGCUGUCGACUCCCCCUCUUUCCCUCCUAAAAGAAGCAAAAUCGGGUUUACGGCAUUAUGGAUAAAACAACUCUUAUUCCCUUUUGGGAAUUGGGUUAUGGAGUUUGAAGAGUCGCCACCUAAUGACUAUAGUGCAUUAGGACACUUUUAAGAAGAUUUUGAAUGAAAACCAGAAUUCAGGUAAGGCUUGAAAUUAUCUCGAGGGGAAGGUGUUAGGCACCCCUCAAGAUCCACUAGUGUGGUUCCCAGCCUUUCUUAGAUGUGACUUUAAGAAGCAUAGAAAUAAACAAGCAAAUAUGCUUAUAAAGAAUAUAAAACUAGUGGGCAAAUUCGAAAAAAAAGAUAGCACAAGUGAAUGGAAAAUUUUAGAGAAAAUAUUUAAUAAAAAGUAAAAGGUAAGGGGGUCCUAGGUUAACUAUAAUAUAGAUCAUUCGAUACAAUAUCCACACAUAUUCCCAAAGAGGGGUCGCAUUAUGAUAUUAUCGCAUCAUCAUCAUCAUCUCCAUGUCCUACCCUUCCCAUCCCGUUAAGGUAUUUAAAUGCCUUUGGUCUCGUUUACUUAUUGCAUGCUAGUACCCGUCCCAACCUAUCAAUCUCGGAGGAAUUUGGGGCUAAUAUUCCUAUAAGAAGGGGGUUCUAAGCCAACUCCUAGGCUUAAAGGUAAAAUGCUAAGCGACAUACAAAAACAAGUAGGACUGCAUUUAGAAGGGGAACAUGUAUACAAUUAUAAGGCUCAUAUAUACCUCUACAAACAACGCAUAUAAAUAGCAUGACUUAAACACAAUUAAGGUCUAAGGAAGGAAGAGUUUUUAAAAGCUGGAGUAUAAGUAAAAAAAAAAAGAAACUGGAGAAUUUGCAGAAAAGACUUGCAAGAAAAAUUGUUCAGAAUUUAAAAAAGAACAGUAGCAGUUUUUAGCAAUCUGCAGAAGUCACUUGGAAAUAUUUGCGGAACAGUUUUCAGACAGGUAGAGUAUAAGAACAAAUAUGAAGGUAUUUUUGAGAUUGCAGAAGUGCAAAGAAAAAACAAUGAAUAUUAUUAGCUUUCGAAAUUUAGAAUAUAUAGUAUUCAGAUAAUUUGAAAAUAGUAGUCCAGUUCCGGACAAAAUGUAAUAGAAACUUUUGCAUGGAUAGUUUAAAAAUAGGGCAGAAGUAUAAAAAUUAAAAGAGCAACGAAUUCACACAGAGAUGGACUGAUUUGAACAUAAUUUAAAGGUGAAUAGUCCAUUUCUAUACUGCCUAAGGCUUGCCUAGGCAUCAUUAAAAUGGGGAGCGUGCAAUGUUUCCAGUUUUAAGGGGGAGUUAUUAAUCAGUUUUAACCCAGAUUAACAAAGUAUUUAAACAUUUGCAAAUAGAGUCCUAAUGGCAUGGUAUCUAAUGCACAAAAGGUCCUAGAAACAUGGUAUCUAGAUGUGAUGGUAAUGACUCAGUGAUUAUUGAUUAGUUAUGAUUGUGAGAAUACACAGAAUAACAAACUGAAAGUGAAUGUCCUAAGAACAUGAUUUCUAUAUGCAAAGAUUCAUGUCCUAAAGCAUGGUAUCUAUUGCGCAGGUAAAUAAAUAGAAUGCGCAGAAUAACAAACUGAUAGUGACUGACCUAAGAACAUGGUUUCUAUAUGUAAAGAUGCAAGUCCUAAAGCAUGGUAUCUAUUGCGCAAGUAAAUAAAUAAAGUCCUAUAAGCAUGUUUUCUACCCGUUCCCUUAAUUAAACAUGCAUAGGCCUCCCAAUUUACUAUAACACCCAUUAUUCUUUGCAAAUUAUUACAGCCCAAAUAAUUGAAAUAAGAAGUUAUUCUAUAGGGAGCCUUCAUCCAGGUCAAACAUCUCCAACCUCACUCCUUCCGACUUUCACAGCAUUACCAAGGCUUGGGUGCAGCAAAGUUUCCUAAGGGUUCGUUUGAACCCCUGGCCAAUACCAAGCACCCAAAAUAUUGUUAUUUGACAGGUGCAAGUGUGGAAGUGCCAGCCUUCUACAUCAAAGUUAUAUGGGUGCUCAAAGGGCUCCCAAGGCAAUGCUUACACUAAGGGGGUAUAACCUAAUGUUCUAAGAAUAAUGAAAUUAUGAUAGGAUUGAGAGAGUUUAAAACAGUUGAAAGUCAGUUUAAGAAAAAACAAUAGGAAGAUUUAAAAGACAAUUUGAGGAAACAAUGAUUGGAAAAGUUGAAAGAAUUCCUUUGAAAUCAUUUAGAACUGACAAGUUUUAAACAGAGCAUCACACAAACAGGGACAAAGGGGAAGGGAUCAAGUAAGUAAAGUGAACUACACAAACAACAUAUUGAAGAAAAGUAAUCAAGCAUGGUUGCAAAUAGGGUUUCAGUUCUUACUGCACCAAACCCCAAUACAAUCAACCUCAGGAAGUGGUUUUUAGGCUAAUCAAGUAGCCAAGCAGACCUGGAUACAUAGUAUUAACACAUAAGGAAAAGGAAACAUCUAUUGAGACAAGAAAUGGGGUAAGGGGGAAAAUGAUAAGCUAAACUAGUAAGUGCAUGCUAGUGACAAUAAGAAAGCAUACCCAUAGAUAAAAGCACACGAGGAGCAAGAUGAAGUGCAUGACUAACAAAAAUAUAUUGUUUUGGAGACUGUAUAUUAGAUAAGUAACAUACCAGUUUCAGGCAUAUAGAACACAAAGAGAAAUAAUGCACAAGAAUAGCAGAGUGAGCAGAGAAUCGGGGCAGCAGUGUGAGAACAACAGUACAGAGAAGCAAACAGCAGGCAAAACCCAAGUAACCAAUGCAGUGAACCCUAGUAGUGUAGAAAUAAACAACCAAGAUUACCCAAUCUUAGCUUUCAGCGGAUUGAGUGAGAGAGUUUUUGGAGAAACAAUAGAGAGAGGAGAGCGCUGAGUGUUAUUGAAAGAGAGUUCAGAGAGAUUGUAAUGUGUGUUGGUGUCUUAUGCAAAGAGGAUGGGGGGAGGGUACUUAUAAUACUGAAACGAGUAAACAAACAAGGCAACAAUCUAUAAUUAAGGAACUAGAUAUCAAUCAUAAUCAAAUCAGCAUAAGGACUCCCCUUUAAUUAAGGAGCCAAAAUUAAACGAUAACAAAAAGUUAUUUUAAAAGGAAAGGAAUCAAUCAGACUACUGCAUCUAUCAUAGUAGGAGUAGUAAAUCAUGUAUUAUGUAAUAAGGGCUAAAUACAUAGUAUUUCAAGAAAGCAAAAUAUAUACUGAAUAUUUGAAAGCAUGCCAAUGCACAUAAAUGUGAUAAAAAUAUAAAUUAACUCUUAAAAUUAGUCAAAGAGUCACAGAUGAGAUUAGAAUCACAAAAGGAAUUAGUUCUAAGUAAGGAAAGCAUAUUACAAAUAAGGGAGUAAUUAAAUUAAAAACAAAUCAGUGUAAAACUUCUAAGGAAAAACACAUACAGAUAAAGUAUUCGCAGAGAUGCAAAAAAAUCAGCAGGAUAUUAGGUAAACGAUGAACAAUCAUGAAAAUUAGACAACCCUAAGCAGGAAAGUUGGACUCAAUAGAGGAUGGAACCCUAGUAGAAAACUUAAAGCAUGGAACUCAGAGUAACCAGAAGAUAACACAAAUAAACACAUAAUGCAAACAUAACCACAUAAUACUCAAGAAAAAUCAGAAAUUAUAGCGAUUUCGCAAAAGGGGUCAGAAACCCUAGUUUUGAAAAAGAGAAAAAAUUGUUGGAAAACUUGAAUCAAUCGGAGAUAUUGAGUGAGAAGUAGUGUAGAAAACUGAAAAAUCAUUAGAAAAGGGCAGAGCUUAUAGAGAUUUAGGCGAAAAAUCACGGUUUGCAAAAUAAAUUAGGAAAAUGAGAAACCUGGUCGUGAAACUUGUUAAUAAUGUCAUAUAAGGCAUCAUCGGAUAAAACCCACUGGAGAAAGGCCGACAAUGGACCCAGGCAAAGCUUUCAGCGACUGUCUUUCAUGGCAGAGGUUUCUGGGCUUCGAGCUUUAGAGGGAAACAACGAGAUGAGGGUUCUACGGCGACUAGAGAUCGAGAGAAGUGAGGGAUGAGUAUGGCCGAAGAGGCGACGAGCUUCAUCGGAGAAGAAGGAACCAAAAGGUUCUAGAGAGAAGGCAGAGCGUUUGUUAGAGAGAGAGAGAGA